rnacentral:rRNA from 1 species
UACGUAGGGUGCGAGCGUUAAUCGGAAUUACUGGGCGUACAGCGUGCGCAGGCGGCGGCCCACGUCAGGUGUGAAAUCCCCGGGCUUAACCUGGGAAUUGCGCUUGAAACUAGGUCGCUAGAGUGUGGCAGAGGGGGGUGGAAUUCCACGUGUAGCAGUGAAAUGCGUAGAGAUGUGGAGGAACACCGAUGGCGAAGGCAGCCCCCUGGGUCAACACUGACGCUCAGGCACGAAAGCGUGGGGAGCAAACAGG